GACGAACGCUGGCGGCGUGCUUAACACAUGCAAGUCGAACGGUCCGAUGCUCGACACCGAGUGUUUCUGCAAAAACGAUGUGAAGCCGGCGGGAAAGCGAUAAGCUAACCUGCAAGGAAAGGCAAGGGGAACUGAGAAGAGCUUUCCCAGGCUUUUUAUAGGGAUUAACACAUUGCCAGGCAGGAGCGCCGGGUGUUGAGCGUCGGAUAGUGGCGAACGGGUGAGUAACGCGUGGGCAAUCUGCCCUUCAGAUGGGGACAACAUCCCGAAAGGGGUGCUAAUACCGAAUACGAUCCUUCCACCGCAUGGAGGGGGGAUGAAAGAUGGCCUCUAUAUAUAAGCUAUCGCUGAAGGAUGAGCCUGCGUCUGAUUAGCUUGUUGGUGGGGUAACGGCCUACCAAGGCGAUGAUCAGUAGCCGGUCUGAGAGGAUGAACGGCCACAUUGGGACUGAGACACGGCCCAAACUCCUACGGGAGGCAGCAGUGGGGAAU
rnacentral:rRNA from 1 species